rnacentral:piRNA from 1 species
UUUUAACCACGUUCUUUAAGGUUUGUAGA